rnacentral:rRNA from 1 species
ACGAGGUGGUGCAUGGUUGUCGUCUAGCUCGUGUCGUGAGAUGUGGUUAAGUCCCGCAACGAGCGCAACCCUAUUGCUAGUUACCAUCAUUAAGUUGGGGACUCUAGCGAGACUGCCAGUGAUAAACUGGAGGAAGGUGGGGAUGACGUCAAAUCAUCAUGCCCCUUAUGACCUGGGCUACAAACGUGAUACAAUGGCUGGAACAAAGGGAUGCGAAGCAGUGAUGUGGAGCGAAACCCAUAAAAACAGUCUCAGUUCGGAUUGAAGUCUGCAACUCGACUUCAUGAAGUCGGAAUCGCUAGUAAUCGCGGAUCGGAACGCCGCGGUGAAUACGCUCUCGGGGUUU